rnacentral:snRNA from 1 species
GGAUGUGAGAGUGAUCUGGCUGCAACAUAUGUCACUCCAUUGAUCACUAGGGUUGAUUCAGCUGAUCUGGCUGACUAGGUGGGUGUCCCCUUCCUCCCUCACUGUUCCAUGUGCUUCCUUCCCAAAGCUGCACAUGGUCAAAGAAGACAAUCCCUGAUAAAGGAGGACCAUUCUUCAGUCAAGGGUAUAUCAAUAGCUGCACUCCCCUGCUAGAACCUCCAGACAAUCUCCCAGAAUCAAACUCCCAGGCAUGAUCUCCAAGGCCCUGCUA